rnacentral:rRNA from 1 species
GAUGAACGUUGGAGGCGUGCCUAAUACAUGCAAGUCGAGCGAACAGACGAGGAGCUUGCUCCUCUGACGUUAGCGGCGGACGGGUGAGUAACACGUGGAUAACCUACCUAUAAGACUGGGAUAACUUCGGGAAACCGGAGCUAAUACCGGAUAAUAUAUUGAACCGCAUGGUUCAAUAGUGAAAGACGGUUUUGCUGUCACUUAUAGAUGGAUCCGCGCCGCAUUAGCUAGUUGGUAAGGUAACGGCUUACCAAGGCAACGAUGCGUAGCCGACCUGAGAGGGUGAUCGGCCACACUGGAACUGAGACACGGUCCAGACUCCUACGGGAGGCAGCAGUAGGGAAUCUUCCGCAAUGGGCGAAAGCCUGACGGAGCAACGCCGCGUGAGUGAUGAAGGUCUUCGGAUCGUAAAACUCUGUUAUUAGGGAAGAACAAAUGUGUAAGUAACUAUGCACGUCUUGACGGUACCUAAUCAGAAAGCCACGGCUAACUACGUG